AGAGUUUGAUCCUGGCUCAGAUUGAACGCUGGCGGCAUGCCUUACACAUGCAAGUCGAACGGCAGCAUGAUCUAGCUUGCUAGAUUGAUGGCGAGUGGCGAACGGGUGAGUAAUACAUCGGAACGUGCCCUGUAGUGGGGGAUAACUAGUCGAAAGAUUAGCUAAUACCGCAUACGACCUGAGGGUGAAAGUGGGGGACCGCAAGGCCUCAUGCUAUAGGAGCGGCCGAUGUCUGAUUAGCUAGUUGGUGGGGUAAAGGCCCACCAAGGCGACGAUCAGUAGCUGGUCUGAGAGGACGAUCAGCCACACUGGGACUGAGACACGGCCCAGACUCCUACGGGAGGCAGCAGUGGGGAAUUUUGGACAAUGGGCGAAAGCCUGAUCCAGUAAUGCCGCGUGUGUGAAGAAGGCCUUCGGGUUGUAAAGCACUUUUGUCCGGAAAGAAAUGGCUCUGGUUAAUACCUGGGGCCGAUGACGGUACCGGAAGAAUAAGGACCGGCUAACUACGUGCCAGCAGCCGCGGUAAUAC
rnacentral:rRNA from 1 species